CAUUGGUGAAGAUGUGGAGAAAUUGGAACCCUCAUGCAUUGCUGGUUGCUUCAUAUCAACUUGAAGAAAAUCUACUUUGGACAAAAGUGAAAGAUCUGGGAAAUGACUGCUAAAGGAUGCUUUUUGGUUGAAAAAUAUUUGGAUGAAAAUACUUUAUAUUGUGAUGGUUGCACAAUCCUGUGGAUAUACUGAAAACCAUUGAAUCAGGAGGGAUGGUUACUGCAAUCAUACCUUCUCCCCUGAGAGACUUGGUUUACAAUCAACCAGAAAAAUCAUGAAAUGUACAGAUUAUAAUUUUAUGGAGGUGUGUACCUCAUU